GGAAAAGAUUAACUCAGCACAUGAGCGCUGUCAUAAUGGUCAUCAGUAGUUGGUUUUCAAGUGUGUACUAUAUGUUCAAUACAUAAAUAGACAGUUAAUAGAGAUAUCAUUCUCUGUAUGUACAAAUGUCUUUAGUCUCCAUCUUGUGUUUACAAUUGCUCUAUAAUUUGUGAUUUUGCGAUUUUGCAGGAGUUGAGAUGUGGCUUAUAUUUACACAUUUCUGCUCUUCGUAUGCCCUAUCCACAUCACCCAAGUUAUUGUGUAUUGUGUGUUAUGUCCAGAUAAAGAGUAACUAACCUCUUCCAUGCUUCUAAUGUGCUCUACUCUAGUGUACCAUUCCUCAAGUGGAGGUGAAAUCUGUUGCCUCCAAUAUUUAAGUAUGAGAGCUUUAGCUGCUAAUAAUAGAUAGAAUUCAAUAGAUUUAUGAUAGAGUUUUAUAGGUUUGGGGGAUAGGUGGAGAAAUAUCUCCAGAAAGGAGCGUGGCCUUGGGAUGUUUUUUAAGGGAAUGUUGCCGUAUGCAUAGGUUUUCAAAUUUGGUGGGAGGGUGUAUUGCAUCUAAGUGUGUCAGUGUCAAUGCAUAUUGUUGCAAUUGAUGAUACCAAAAUUCAUCCAUAAAUGUAGGAUGGGUAUCGGGACAUAACUCGGAGAGUGGUUUAAGUUUCCCAUCUUCAUCAAAGUUACAUAACGGAGUUGGGAUGAUUUAGGCCAUUUGAGAUGUCCAAGCAUAGUGAGGAGUUUUCCUACCAAUUGCCUUUCAAAGUAAGUCUGAACUAGCCAAGCAGCUGCAUAGGAUAGCAGGAGUUUGUCAUAGUCUGAUAACCAUGCUGUUUAAAGGACCCCUCUACAUCUAGUAGGCACUUCAGCUUGCUGAAGUUCUGUAUGGGUGAGGGAUAUUCUAUUAUGAUGACGGAUAAUAAAAAUGCAGGUUUCUAAGUCAGCACUCAUUAAACAAAAUCAAUGAAACACCCCUGGCUAUCGAUUGGGCAGUGUGGAGUGUUUGAACUUGCCAUGAACUUGGUAAUGAUCACCACACACCAUCAUCACCAAGCCACCAGCAGACCAUGGCAUUGCUAAGCGGAAAACCGGCCACAAGAUGUGACCAAUGUACUUUAAAGGUCACUCCAAGCACAAUGACCACUUCAGUGAUUUGGAGUGGUCAUGGUGCCUGAAAUCGAAAUGUGUAGCAUUUUCCCCAGUACUGGGGAACCAGGCAAGGGCACUACAGACAUCUUAACCACUGUCAAAGGCCUGGAGUAACCCUUUAGUAUAUUCUACGGAAACAGCAAUGGACUCAGUACCAUGAAAGAACCUGUAAGUUUGCGUCAGUCUGUAUGUAUGUUCUAAUGUAUAAAUACCCAUUGGCACCCAAAUAGCACAUCCUAUAGAUCUGUG